CAGCAGCCGCGGUAAUACAGAGGGUGCGAGCGUUAAUCGGAUUUACUGGGCGUAAAGCGUGCGUAGGCGGCUUCUUAAGUCGGAUGUGAAAUCCCUGAGCUUAACUUAGGAAUUGCAUUCGAUACUGGGAAGCUAGAGUAUGGGAGAGGAUGGUAGAAUUCCAGGUGUAGCGGUGAAAUGCGUAGAGAUCUGGAGGAAUACCGAUGGCGAAGGCAGCCAUCUGGCCUAAUACUGACGCUGAGGUACGAAAGCAUGGGGAGCAAACAGGAUUAGAUACCCCAGUAGUCCCUGUCUCUUAUAA
rnacentral:rRNA from 1 species